CCCGGGGUGGGUGUCGGACACCUCGACGCGGACGACGCCGGCCGAGCGGUCGUAGCCGAGCCGCAGUUCGAAGUCGCGCCCGGGGAC
rnacentral:tRNA from 1 species